rnacentral:miRNA from 1 species
UGGUUGGCUGGGCUUAUGCAGAGC